GGAGGGUGCAAGCGUUAAUCGGAAUUACUGGGCGUAAAGCGCGCGCAGGCGGCUGGGUCAGUCGGAUGUGAAAGCCCCGGGGCUUAACCUGGGAAUUGCAUUCGAUACUGCCCGGCUAGAGUAUGGGAGAGGGAAGUGGAAUUUCCGGUGUAGCGGUGAAAUGCGUAGAUAUCGGAAGGAACACCAGUGGCGAAGGCGGCUUCCUGGCCCAAUACUGACGCUCAGGUGCGAAAGCGUGGGGAGCGAACAGGAUUAGAUACCCUGGUAGUCCACGCUGUAAACGAUGAGAACUAGAUGUUGGGAGGGUUAGCCUCUCAGUGUCGCAGCUAACGCGUUAAGUUCUCCGCCUGGGGAGUACGACCGCAAGGUUG
rnacentral:rRNA from 1 species